rnacentral:rRNA from 2 species
GAAUGCUGACAUAAGUAACGAUAAAGCGGGUGAAAAGCCCGCUCGCCGGAAGACCAAGGGUUCCUGUCCAACGUUAAUCGGGGCAGGGUGAGUCGACCCCUAAGGCGAGGCCGAAAGGCGUAGUCGAUGGGAAACGGGUUAAUAUUCCCGUACUUGGUGUUACUGCGAAGGGGGGACGGAGAAGGCUAUGUUGGCCGGGCGACGGUUGUCCCGGUUUAAGCGUGUAGGUGUGUGUUCCAGGUAAAUCCGGUUCACUUUAACACUGAGGCGUGACGACGAGGCACUACGGUGCUGAAGCAACAAAUGCCCUGCUUCCAGGAAAAGCCUCUAAGCAUCAGGUAACAUCAAAUCGUACCCCAAACCGACACAGGUGGUCAGGUAGAGAAUACCAAGGCGCUUGAGAGAACUCGGGUGAAGGAACUAGGCAAAAUGGUGCCGUAACUUCGGGAGAAGGCACGCUGACACGUAGGUGAAGUGAUUUACUCAUGGAGCUGAAGUCAGUCGAAGAUACCAGCUGGCUGCAACUGUUUAUUAAAAACACAGCACUGUGCAAACACGAAAGUGGACGUAUACGGUGUGACGCCUGCCCGGUGCCGGAAGGUUAAUUGAUGGGGUCAGCGCAAGCGAAGCUCCUGAUCGAAGCCCCGGUAAACGGCGGCCGUAACUAUAACGGUCCUAAGGUAGCGAAAUUCCUUGUCGGGUAAGUUCCGACCUGCACGAAUGGCGUAAUGAUGGCCAGGCUGUCUCCACCCGAGACUCAGUGAAAUUGAACUCGCUGUGAAGAUGCAGUGUACCCGCGGCAAGACGGAAAGACCCCGUGAACCUUUACUAUAGCUUGACACUGAACAUUGAGCCUUGAUGUGUAGGAUAGGUGGGAGGCUUUGAAGUGUGGACGCCAGUCUGCAUGGAGCCGACCUUGAAAUACCACCCUUUAAUGUUUGAUGUUCUAACGUGGACCCGUAAUCCGGGUUGCGGACAGUGUCUGGUGGGUAGUUUGACUGGGGCGGUCUCCUCCUAAAGAGUAACGGAGGAGCACGAAGGUUGGCUAAUCCUGGUCGGACAUCAGGAGGUUAGUGCAAUGGCAUAAGCCAGCUUGACUGCGAGCGUGACGGCGCGAGCAGGUGCGAAAGCAGGUCAUAGUGAUCCGGUGGUUCUGAAUGGAAGGGCCAUCGCUCAACGGAUAAAAGGUACUCCGGGGAUAACAGGCUGAUACCGCCCAAGAGUUCAUAUCGACGGCGGUGUUUGGCACCUCGAUGUCGGCUCAUCACAUCCUGGGGCUGAAGUAGGUCCCAAGGGUAUGGCUGUUCGCCAUUUAAAGUGGUACGCGAGCUGGGUUUAGAACGUCGUGAGACAGUUCGGUCCCUAUCUGCCGUGGGCGCUGGAGAACUGAGGGGGGCUGCUCCUAGUACGAGAGGACCGGAGUGGACGCAUCACUGGUGUUCGGGUUGUCAUGCCAAUGGCACUGCCCGGUAGCUAAAUGCGGAAGAGAUAAGUGCUGAAAGCAUCUAAGCACGAAACUUGCCCCGAGAUGAGUUCUCCCUGAGACUUAG